rnacentral:tmRNA from 1 species
GGGGCUGUCCUGGUUUCGACGUGGGUACGGGUUCGGAGUGGCGCAUGUCGAGCUUGGGUCACGCUCGUAAAUCUCGAUUCAAAAAACUAACUGCAAACGACGAUCGUUUCGCACUCGCCGCUUAAAUCCGGUGAGCCUUGCAACAGCACGCUGAUGGGCUGGGCAAAAAAGUCGCAAGACUUCUAGCUGCAAGGUAAUUCACAUCAGCUGGCCUUGUUCCGGGCAUCUUGGGGCAAGGCGAGACUCAAGGAUGCUGGCCUCUUGUGCAGCGUGUGGCUGCGCGGCAUGAGGGGCGAGAUCAAAACAGACCACUAAGCAUGUAGAACUGCCCGGCAAAGGCUUGCGGACGCGGGUUCAAUUCCCGCCAGCUCCACCA